UCGCAAUGGGCGAAAGCCUGACGGAGCAAUGCCGCGUGAAGGAUGAAGGCCUAUGGGUUGUAAACUUCUUUUCUCAGAGAAGAAAUUUUGACGGUAUCUGAGGAAUAAGCAUCGGCUAACUCUGUGCCAGCAGCCGCGGUAAGACAGAGGAUGCAAGCGUUAUCCGGAAUGAUUGGGCGUAAAGCGUCUGUAGGUGGCUUAAAAAGUCUCCUGUCAAAGAUCAGGGCUUAACCCUGGGCCGGCAGGAGAAACUCUUAGGCUAGAGUUGGUAGGGGCAGAGGGAAUUCCCGGUGGAGCGGUGAAAUGCGUAGAGAUCGGGAGGAACACCAAAGGCGAAAGCACUCUGCUGGGCCAUUACUGACACUGAGAGACGAAAGCGAGGGGAGCAAAAGGGAUUAGAUACCCCC
rnacentral:rRNA from 1 species